rnacentral:misc_RNA from 1 species
GCCUAUCAACGCCCGGUCACCCGACCGCGUGCGGAGAGUGGCCCUCCGAGCCGCAGAGGCACGGCGGGCUGAAGAGCGAGGCCGUCGGCCGCGUCGGGAUCGGCAAGUGGUGGGCUACAGCGCAUGCCGACCCCGACCCGUGUUGGCUCGGGCCCUCACCGACCCCACGACGAUUAGACCGUCGCCGUGGCAUCCAUGCCGCGCGACGCAUUCGGACC